rnacentral:rRNA from 1 species
AACGAACGCUGGCGGCAUGCCUAACACAUGCAAGUCGAACGAGUGCCUUCGGGUGCUAGUGGCGCACGGGUACGUAACGCGUGGGAAUCUGCCCUUAGGUUGGGAAUAACAGCUGGAAACGGCUUCUAAUACCGGCUGAUAUCGUGUGAUCAAACAUUUAUCAUCUGAGGAUGAGCCCUCGUUGGACUCGGUAGUUGGUGGGGUAAAGGCAUACCAAGCCGACGAUCCAUAGCUGGUCUGAGAGGAUGAGCAGCCACACUGGGACUGAGACACUGCCCUGACUCCUACGGGAGGCAGCAGUGGGGAAUAUUGGACAAUGGGCGCAAGCCUGAUCCAGCAAUGCCGCGUGAGUGAUCAAGGCCCUAGGGUUGUAAGGCUCUUUUACCCGGGAAGAUAAUGACUGUACCGGGAGAAUAAGCCCCGGCUAACUCCGUGCCAGCCGCCGCCGUAA